AUUGAACGCUGGCGGCAGGCUUAACACAUGCAAGUCGAGCGGUAGCACAGGGGAGCUUGCUCCCUGGGUGACGAGCGGCGGACGGGUGAGUAAUGUCUGGGAAACUGCCUGAUGGAGGGGGAUAACUACUGGAAACGGUAGCUAAUACCGCAUAACGUCGCAAGACCAAAGAGGGGGACCUUCGGGCCUCUUGCCAUCAGAUGUGCCCAGAUGGGAUUAGCUAGUAGGUGGGGUAAUGGCUCACCUAGGCGACGAUCCCUAGCUGGUCUGAGAGGAUGACCAGCCACACUGGAACUGAGACACGGUCCAGACUCCUACGGGAGGCAGCAGUGGGGAAUAUUGCACAAUGGGCGCAAGCCUGAUGCAGCCAUGCCGCGUGUGUGAAGAAGGCCUUCGGGUUGUAAAGCACUUUCAGCGAGGAGGAAGGUGGUGAGCUUAAUACGUUCAUCAAUUGACGUUACUCGCAGAAGAAGCACCGGCUAACUCCGUU
rnacentral:rRNA from 1 species